GACGGAGGGUGCAAGCGUUGUUCGGAAUUACUGGGCGUAAAGCGCGGGCAGGUGGCCCUUUAAGUCCUUUGUGAAAUUCCGGAGCCUCAACUCCGGAUGUGCAUAGGAUACUGGUCGGCUUGAAUCCGGGAGAGGGAUGCAGAAUUCCAGGUGUAGCGGUGAAAUGCGUAGAUAUCUGGAGGAAUACCGGUGGCGAAGGCGGCAUCCUGGACCGGCAUUGACGCUGAACAGCGAAAGCUAGGGGAGCAAACAGG
rnacentral:rRNA from 1 species